rnacentral:rRNA from 1 species
CCUACGGGAGGCAGCAGUGGGGAAUCUUGCACAAUGGAGGAAACUCUGAUGCAGCGAUGCCGCGUGAGUGAAGAAGGCCCAUGGUUUGUAAAGCUCUUCGUCGGGAAGAAAAUGACG